CUGUUUUUAAUUCAUUUUUUUGUUUUUUUUGUCUCAUUUCUUUUGAAUCUAAAUUAUAGAGAAUAUAUAAUGUUUGUUGGAUAAAUUUUAUGUUUACCAUUUUCAAGCUAGCACUUUUCAUCUUUACCAUCACUAAAGGGACAUUUUCAAAAGUACAUUCUUCAUUACGUGGCAAAUGACUCUUAUCCUUGUUAUUUAUAUAUAUAAUAAAUCAUUAUUUAAAUAAAAAUAAAUAAAAUUUUUUUUUUAUGUUUUUGAAUUAUACUUUUUCAAAUUCGAACUCUUUAUAAUUUUUUUUCGAAAACUUUUUUUUUCAAAUUUCUUUUUGAAAAUCGAAAAUUAUGUUUGAAACUUUUUUAAUUUAUAUUUUCUAAGUAUUUAUUUAUAUA
rnacentral:lncRNA from 1 species